UUUUUUUACCCUAAAAAAGAUCGAAAGCGGAUUCUCAAGGUGUUUUUGAUGCUUUCUUAACGCCGUUAACCUCGAUGCACUUUUUUGCUCGAAACAAAACGGCAAGAAAAUCAUGUGCGCCCCACGGUCUUACACUUGGAUUGGCCGCGAAAAGGAUAUAUAGAAACGAGAGUGAUGUACUGACGGGUGCGAUCAUACCAGCACUAAUGCACGGGAUCCCAUCAAACUCCGCAGUUAAGCGUGCUUGGGCGAGUAGUACUAGGAUGGGUGACCUCCCGGGGUCCUCGUGUUGCACCCCUUUUUAUUUUUUAAUUUUUUUUAGCCUAAAACGAGUCUAAACUUGAAAACCUCAUAACUUUUGAACCGUGAGGAACUACGUCGCCCAUAGCACCAUUCGGAAAGCCCCAGAAACCAUAAUCGGCGGUGAAUAGGGGGCGCAAUUUUUCGGGCUCAAAUUCAGACGUUUUGACCCUCAAACGGGCUGCGGAAAGCUAUGGCACGUAAAAAAGAUCGAAAGGUGAUUCUCAAGGUGUUUUGAUGCUUUCUUAACGUUGUUAACCUCGAUGCACUUUUUCGCUCGAAACAAAACGGCAAGAAAAUCAUGUGCGCCCCACGGUCCUUACACUUGGAUUGGCCGCGAAAAGGAUAUAUAGAAACGAGAGUGAUGUACUGACGGGUGCGAUCAAACCAGCACUAAUGCACCGAUCCCAUCAGAACUCUACAGUUUACGUGCUUGGGCGAGAGUAGUACUAGGAUGGGUGACCUCCCGGGAAGUCCUCGUGUUGCACCCCUUUUAUUUUUUAAUUUUUUUUUUACCCUAAAACGAGUUUUAAACUUGGUAACCUCAUAACUUUUGAACGGUGAGGAACUACGUCGCCCAUAGCACCAUUUCGGAAAGCCCCAGAAACCAUAAUGGGCGGUGAAUAAGGGGCACAAUUUUUCGGGCUCGAAUUCAGCCGUUUUGACCCUCAAACGGGCUGCGGAAAGUUAUGGCACGUAAAAAAGAUCGAAAGCGGAUUCUCAAGGUGUUUUUGAUGCUUUCUUAACGCCGUUAACCUCGAUGCACUUUUUCGCUCGAAACAAAACGGCAAGAAAAUCAUGUGCGCCCCACGGUCUUACACUUGGAUUGGCAGCAAAAAGGAUAUAGAAACGAGAGUGAUGUACUGACGGGUGCGAUCAAACCAGCACUAAUGCACCGGAUCCCAUCAGAACUCUGCAGUUAAUCGUGCUUGGGCGAGAGUAGUACUAGGAUGGGUGACCUCCCGGGAAGUCCUCGUGUUGCACCCCUUUUUAUUUUUUAAUUUUUUUUACCCUAAAACGAGUUUAAACUUGGAAACCUCAUAACUUUUGAACCGUGAGGAACUACGUCGCCCAUAGCACCAUUUCGGAAAGCCCCAGAAACCAUAAUGGGCGGUGAGUAGGGGGCGCAAUUUUUCGGGCUCAAAUUCAGCCGUUUUGACCCUCAAACGGGCUGCGGAAAGUUAUGGCACGUAAAAAAGAUCGAAAGCGGAUUCUCAAUGUGUUUUUAAUACUUUCUUAACGCCGUUAACCUCGAUGCACUUUUUCGCUCGAAACACAACGGCAAGAAAAUCAUGUGGGCCCCACGGCCUUACACUUGGAUUGGCCGGGAAAAGGAUAUAUAGAAACGAGAGUGAUGUACUAACGGGUGUGAUUAUACCGGCACUAAUGCACCGGAUCCCAUCAGAACUCCGCAGUUAAGGGUGCUUGGGCGAGAGUAGUACUAGGAUGGGUGAC
rnacentral:lncRNA from 1 species